rfam:Perkinsus marinus ATCC 50983 gcontig_1104296512582, whole genome shotgun sequence.
GCCUCGGUAGCUCAGUCGGCAGAGCGCGGGCCUUUUAAGCCCGUGGCCGCGGGUUCGAGCCCCGUCCGAUGUG